UUAAGUUUUUUAUUUUUGUGGAAACCAAAACAAAUAUAUGCUUACAGUACAUCAAUGGUUUUCACUGGGUCCUUUAACAAAAAAACACGGUAAUAAUGUUGGGGUUACUUUUUUCACAGUCACACAGACCAGCCGCCCAGAAAUGCCUCAGACCAGUCGUCAUGAUGCCGGUAUUGCAGGUUCUGCUUCUGGAAGCCGACCUCCUGUAAGGCGCCCAUCACAGGGCUCGGGCCACUUACCCAGGAGGCCAACUAAGACUCGGCGUCUUGGGUCUGAUUCUGCACCUCCAUCAUCCCCACCCAGGCGAAGGCUAUCGGCUGUGUCACCCCAGCCACCACUGGCACUAUUGGCGAGUUCGCAGAGUGAUGAGCCCAGAUCUCCUCAGUUAUCUGAGCACAACUUGAUGUCCGGCGACGACCAGCAGGGACCAGAACAACAGCCAUCAUUCACACUGCAACUUACAGCUGUUGAUCCAAGCAUGCCAAUCCAGUUGCAGGAUAUACCCCAACCAACCAGCAGUCCCCAACUGGCACAAGCUCCGCCCCAAAACCAAAUUC